rnacentral:rRNA from 1 species
CGCGUAGGCGGGUUAAUAAGUCAGAUGUGAAAGCCCGGAGCUCAACUCCGGAACAGCAUUUGAAACUGUUAGUCUAGAGGGUAGGCGGAAGAAAAUAGAAUUCCACAAGUAGCGGCGAAAUGCGUAGAUAUGUGGAAGAAUACCGGUGGCGAAGGCGAUUUUCUAGCUUAUACCUGACGCUGAGGCGCGAAAGAGGGAGUCAAACA